rnacentral:tRNA from 1 species
CCACCACAUGCACUCAAACACUCAGUGGUGAUCGCUUUCUCUAUGAAAUUUCGAAUGACUCCAGAACUAAUGUUUCUCAGGGAGUCUCAACUUUAAAGUGCUCUGUCAGCACCCAAUUUGACAGAGAGCAAACAACUCUUUCACUCAAACUCAGAGUGGAAUCAUUAGUCCGGUUAAGUGCUCUGCAAGCACCCAACUUGCCAGUGAGCAGAAUAACUCUUUCACUCAAACUCAGAGUGGAAUCAUUAGUCCAAUUAAGUGCUCUGUAAGCACCCAAUUUGACAGAGAACAAGUAUCAUCCUUCACUCAAACUCAGAGUGGGAUCAUUAGUCCAGUUAAGUGCUCUGUGGGCACGCAAUCUGGCGCUGAGUUAAGUACCACCCCCCCACAAACUUUGACUGACAACAACAUGGGCUCUGUAGCUGACUUUGUCGCUACCCAAAUUAAGGUCCCUAGGUGUUCGAAUUCUCCUCUUGGAGCCCCUCAAGUGAGGAACACCCUAGCACUAGGCAACGCCCCAGAGCUGCCUUGGACCCUGAAGCCUGUCCUUUCAACCCCCCUAAAGCAGGCCAGUAAACAGGGAAUUCAUGGAGCAGGUGCUUGACAAAGCAACUGCCAAGUCUCACUUGCCCAAUAAUCGUGUGUCUAAAUCCGCUAUUAAAGGAAAACUCCCCACACAACUGCCUAAUAUUGACCCCCCUACAGUUACUAAACAUGGGCGUGGCCAAUUGCCAGAGAACUAUAGGUUUCCACUUACCUGGUCCGAUGAUGACCUGGAACAAACCCUGGAGGAUGGCCCACAGCUAAGUGGUCCAUCCCUCGAAAAUGAUGCUCCUUGUGGGCUUUUAUCCCACAAGACUACAAAGGAUAAUCGUCCUAAACAUAGCAAGAUAUCACCUAAUGGUGGCGCAAUUGCGAAAAAUCCUUCUUCUCGAGGUAAAAAGAAAAAGAAGGUCAAAAUAAUGCCUUCCUCAUUUCAGUACAAAUUACCCCCUUCUGCUGAUCCGGAUAAUUUGAUGCAUUCGCCCCGGAAGCCAACUGGCCUUGCUGGGAAUCAGAUAUCGACCCCUCUGACUGGGAAAGAUCGUUUGACAGGCGUAAUAUGCCCAAAUGUUAUAAGAACCCAGGUGAACUGGAUGAGGAGCUAGCUGAAGCUCUUUAAAUAUUUCCCCUCCAAUUACAAUCUCUACCCCUUAUUGUUGUAAAUGGCUAUUCCUUCAGUGCCCUGCGUGGCACUGUCCUCUAUGCAAUCUGUGAGAUUGCUAUUUCCAUUUACAUUAAAAGCUUGGUGGUGUUAAACCACUGAUUUAUUGUAAAUAUUAUUUGU